rnacentral:misc_RNA from 1 species
GAUGAAGAACGCAGCGAAAUGCGAUACGUAAUGUGAAUUGCAGAAUUCAGUGAAUCAUCGAGUCUUUGAACGCACAUUGCGCCCCCUGGUAUUCCGGGGGGCAUGCCUGUCCGAGCGUCAUUGCUGUCCUCAAGCACGGCUUGUGUGUUGGGCCUCCGUCCUCCUCCCGGGGGACGGGCCCGAAAGGCAGCGGCGGCACCGCGUCCGGUCCUCGAGCGUAUGGGGCUUCGUCACCCGCUCUUGUAGGCCCGGCCGGCGCUUGCCGACACAUCAAUCUUUUUUCCAGGUUGACCUCGGAUCAGGUAGGGAUACCCGCUGAACUUAAGCAUAUCAAUAAGCGGAGGA